UACCCGUAGUUUUCGGACAGUU
rnacentral:miRNA from 1 species